AUUGAACGCUGGCGGCAUGCCUUACACAUGCAAGUCGAACGGCAGCACGGGGCAACCUGGUGGCGGGUGGCGAACGGGUGAGUAAUGCAUCGGAACGUACCUUUCAGUGGGGGAUAACGUAGCGAAAGUUACGCUAAUACCGCAUAUUCUGUGAGCAGGAAAGCAGGGGAUCGCAAGACCUUGCGCUGAUUGAGCGGCCUAUGUCAGAUUAGCUAGUUGGUGAGGUAAAGGCUCACCAAGGCGACCAUCUGUAGCGGGUCUGAGAGGAUGAUCCGCCACACUGGAACUGAGACACGGUCCAGACUCCUACGGGAGGCAGCAGUGGGGAAUUUUGGACAAUGGGGGCAACCCUGAUCCAGCCAUGCCGCGUGAGUGAAGAAGGCCUUCGGGUUGUAAAGCUCUUUCGGCCGGGAAGAAAUCGCACGGGCUAAUACCCUGUGUGGAUGACGGUACCGGAAUAAGAAGCACCGGCUAACUACGUGCCAGCCGCCGCCGUAACAC
rnacentral:rRNA from 1 species